rnacentral:lncRNA from 1 species
UAGGGGGUGGGGUGACACGGUGUCUGUCGGUCCGGAAGGGUCUUGACACUAGCUGCGGGGCUCUGGGCUGGCUGAUCACUGGGUGCAGCAGACCGUGCGCCUACAGCGCCCUGGAGCGUCGGAAAGGCGGCCGCUGCAACAGCGCCACCGCCUCAUGACCGCGCUCCAGCCUCGGGCUCCCGGGAGCGACUCAUGCCUUGCAAGUGGUGCGGCUGGCGAGCAGAACGGCUGGGUGAUAUAUCUGGAGAGCGCGGGAUCCUUGCCAACGAGGCUAGAGAGAACUGGGUCCAGCGUGGCUCUGGCUCCUGCCUUCCCCAAGUGGCUCGAGUGACGGGCACUCUGUUAGGCUGGAGACUUUUAUACUGUGUUCCCUCCGCCUCCUUCCUCCCCUGAGCCAGCUCAGCCCUUCCCUCUCGGUGAGCCCAGCCCUAGUCAAGCGUGAGCACACGUUCCCACAACCCUUGUCACACAUUGCCAUUUCUCAUCCGCAACCCAGGACCGUUGCACAAAUCUCCUUAGGUGAAUGAAAUCAAACAAACAAAUAAAACUUUCUUACCGGCACGCCACUUUUCUCUCUUUUCCUACCUCUUUCUACAAUCACUAGAAACGGACAGAAGAUUCCUAAUUAAACUGUCUUUAGAGUUAAAAUCUUUCUUUGGAAACUCUAAGAUGAAUUUCUUCGCCACUCCAAACGUUCCUCAGGUCGUCUUAGCAUUUUCCAGAAUUUAACUAGUUGUGGUUCAGCAUGCUGUUUGCAUCUGUUUGUAUCCAGUUAACUUAUUGCCUCUUUGAAAAUGCUGGAAAACAUCUUUAAAAUUCUAGCCAAACCCAGCAGCUCAUUAAUAAAUUGGCAGCUAUUUAUAAAGUGCGGGAUGGGCAUCUUUUCCUUUUCACUAAGGGUGGGUUUCCCCUCUCUGGCAGAGAGCUCUCUUUCAACUGUUAGGCUGCCUGGCUUCCCAUUGCUAUCUCUAGGCUCUAAAAUACCAAUAAUUGUCAACUGGAGCGCUGAGGGGAGAAAUUGAAACAAUAAACCUUGGUGGUUCAGAUGGGAGAUCAAAGGGGAUUCUAGCAGCUUUGGAAUCCCAGAAGGAUUCCCCUGCGUGUUUUCUAAUUAGAAUCACUUAAGAGUAUCAGGCAGCCGAAUCAGCACACAGGUGGAAUAGAUAAAUUAAGACGGCAAACUAGAAUCCUGUGGCCAUAGAUAUGUGGACUUUCCAGGUGGUAAUGUGGACACACAGCGACAAAUGACUCCUGUUGCCAAAAGCAGGCUGUUCUAGAUUAGAGCUGAGAGGAUGCUGUAUUUUGUCUCCCCCCCCCCCAGUCUCCCCAUGUGAGCCUCGACUGCAUUUCUCUCAUCCAAAAGUUAUAUUUUUUUCUCCUAAGGAAAAAUGACUAAAGAAAAAAAAUGUGGAAAGAAACUGUUGCAAGGAAUGUACAUUCUUAUAAAAUUAUAGAUGGAGAUUUUGAGAUCAAAGUCUUUGUAAAAUGUUGUAAAAUUGUAAAUUGAGUUUGGGGGUCAGAUGUUUUUAUUAAAUGUUGAACAAAUGUAUGAAUGAAUGCUACUGAAGUCUCUUCAAUCUGGGCAACCCAAAUUCCAGAUGCAUUCAUACUCUGGUAAGGACAUACCGGUUGCAUUCUCAAAGCAACGAUACCAGCAACAUCCUGCAGCUGAGGGCUUAGGGAACAUUGGCUCACACAUUAUACGAAAGGGGAGCCAUGUGUCUACUGCACCACCAAGUACCGUUUAAAGCACAUUUCUGAAAUUGUCCCAGGAGCUGAUGAAAGUUUGAAAACAAUACUACAUCCUUCAAAUUUCCCAAGGGACUAUAUUCAUACCUUUAUCACUGGCCUUACUAUAUUCCCAUAGAAGGUGUCUGUUAUUCUGUCUGUAUUCCCAAAAGACCUGGAUUGGGCCAUCUUUGUGGUAGAGCAUUUUAGAAGCCCACUCAACCCCCAAUAUACUAUUUCUUUCUACCUAAAUUUAUAGCUAGAAGACAUUUUCCAGCCACAUUUGGAUCUAAGGAUUGUGGAGUCUUGGGAGUUUUAAGACUCCUGAGUGAUUAUCAAGACAUACUCAGCCUUCCCUUGCAGUAUGGCAAGCCUGAGAGAUAUAAGGUGACCUUAUUCAGAUUGUUGUUCAGAAGAGAGCCAUUGAACUAGAAAUAUAUGCACUUUGUUCAAGUGAAAAAAAAAUACCCCUUUCUUAUUCAAAUACACAUGAUUUUCUGAUAUUCCCAACUAUCAUUACCUCCCAAGACAGGUACAAUCUUCCCAGAUCAUCACUACUAUUUCUAGACUUGAGUACAGGACUUACGCAAGGCAAGGAGCUUCAUUAAGACACACGCAUAUGAUGUACUUUAAUCAUAUUCACACUUUGUAACCCUUUCCUAUCCUUUGUCCUCCUUCCCACCUUUCCCCCUCCUCAUAGUUAGAGUUCUAUUGCUAUGAUAAGCCCCAGGACUAAUGAAACUUGGGGAAGAAAGGGUUUAUUUCAUCUUACAGCUCAUAGUACAUAAUGAAGGGAAGGCAGGGCAGGAAUUCAAGACAGGAAGGGAGGCAGAGGUCAUGGAGGAGUGUUGCUUUCUUGCUCAGCCUGCUUUCCUGUAUAUCACGGGCUCAUCUGCCCAGGGAUGGUACUGCUCACAGGGAGCUGGCCUCUCCUUAGCAACUAAGAAAAUUCCACAGAGAGAUACCCACAGGCUAAUCUGAUAGAGACAUUUCCUCAACUGAAAUGAGACAAUCCUCUUCUUAGAUGAUCUUGGCUUGUGUCAAGUUGACAAAAAAAGUUAAACAAUACAUCUGAGUCUUUGUCAACCUGACACACAAAUGCAUCAUUAUUAAACAAUGAGUUUUUUCUUUGUUAAUCCACAAGAUCUUUUGUAUUUAAAGAUGUUAACUAGAUAAACCAACUUGAGCUGUAUUCACCUCUUGUGAGGAGCAAGAAGUCUAGUGACACUAUCCAUGUGUAAAGAUAUUGAUAUUUUGUGGAAAAAAAACCACCAGGAACCCAAUGAUGCAAGCUGGUGGCUUCUAGCAUCUGGAAAUGAAGUGACAAAGGGAAAGAAUGAGCUUGUGAUAAAAUGAACUGGCUCAGAUGGACACAAGCAGUCUAAACGUUCCUACCUGUGCCCUGGAAGAGGAUCUUCUUCCUGGCAGACAUACAGCUCGAGUUGUUGAAAGUCAAGCCCAAGCCCUCGUUGUAAGAGUGACCAAGUGACAAUGAAAAUUCAGCCCCAAGCUCAGCGGGUGCAGUCAGUUAAAAGUAAGGACACUGGCUGACACAGAGUGGGAUUUUAUAACUUCCAAUGGGUAUUUUUUUUUUUUUUGUCAACUUGACUGCAUCUGGAAUCAACUGAAAUCCAAGUGUCUGUGAUGGAUUUUCUUAAUCAGAUUACUUGAGGAAGACUGCCCUCCUGGCAUCAUUGGUUUCCCAUUGCUGAGAUAGACAGUGUGACCAAAAGCACCUUAAGAAGGAGGGUUUGUGUCACUGUAUAGUCUUCAUGUAAAGAAGACUAUGCCCAAGAGUGUUGUAACUGUAUCAUAUGAUAAAUCUAAUCUAAUUCUUUUGAUAGAGCCUCCUAUAGUAUCAGAUUAACUUAUAUUUCCCUAUGUUCUUGCCAAUAUAUGCUGUUUUUGUUGUUGUUGUUGUUGUUCUUAUUGACAGUCAUUCUGAGCAGAGUGAGAUGCAGUUUCAGUAUAGUUUGGUUUGCAUUUCCUUGAAAGCUAAGAAUAUUGGAUAUUCUAAGUUGGGUGUCUCUUUUGACUAUACUUACUAAUCUGCCUUUAUUGGACUCUCUUUUGUUGCUAUCUGGAUGUUAAUACUGUUAACCCUUCUGUGUCUUUAUUGUAUGUAUUCUCAUAGAUUUUUAUACUUAUUAUCAAUUGCAUUUACAGGGCAGGUCUGCAUAUCUGACUCUAAUACGUGAAGAAAAUAAAAGAAAUCAAGCUACAAAGCCUAUAGAUAUUCUCAUUAAUGACACCAUGGUUUCAUUAAGAUCUUUUAUGGUGCAAAGAUGAAUGUUUUUAUGUUAAAUUCUAUUAAAACUUACAUAUAUAUAACAUAUUAUAAAUAUAUGCAGAAACAAAGGGAAAACAUAAGAACUGACAGGAACCUAGCACAUCUUGUGGAAUUGGGAGAGGAAAGACUGAAGGAGCCAGAGAGGUCAAGGACACCACAAGAAAACCUACAGAAUCAACAAACCUGGGCCCAUAGGGGCCCACAGAGACUGAACCAUCAUGGAAGCUUGCAUGGGAUGGACCUAGGCUCUCUGCAGCUAAGACUCUGAUACCAGCUGAUAUGAAGUCUCCAACACAUGCAGCAGAGGACUACAGAGUCUGGACUCAGUCAGUGAAAAUACAUCUAACACUCAAGAGACUGGAGGCCUCAGGGAGUAGGAAGUUCCAGGUUUCUGAGAGCUAGUGCCGGUAACAGAAGCAGCACCAUUGCUUUGCCGUAUCGGAAGCUGGCUGUGUGCUGACAGCACUGUGUGGUUCCGGAUGAGCUCUGCCUGGUUCCCUGCCUGGUGACUCAGUGAGCUGGUUUCUCUGUAACGGGAGCAUAUGCCCCAUGCAUGCUGUGUUAGCAGAUUAUUAAUAACCACACAGAAGUACUGAAGCAGGCACGAGCAUCUCAUCUCUCUGUAAGCGUAUCACUUUCAAAUCCAGAUCCUCUCCUAAUCUGUUCAUGGACUCUUCUUGACACAAUCACUUUUCAUAUAGAAAUGAUGCAUGUCUCUAAUGUUCUAGUACAUUGUCUCUGAACCUCGCUUUCUUUGUCUUCAUCAAGUGUUCGUCAAGCAGCGUGGCAUUACUUGAUCUCAGGAGUAUUUUUCCUCAAUAAUGUUAAAUGUGGAGAAUCCUAUCCAGUCUGUCUCUACAACAGAGGAUUUCAACCUGUGUGGCGAGAAGCCACAGAGGUCAAAUGACCAUUUCACAAGGGUAGCUUAUAAGCUAUCCUGCACAUCUGUUGUUUACAUUAUGAUUCAUAACAGUAGUGAAGUUACAGUUAUGAAGUAGCAAUGAAAUAAUUUUAUGGGUGGGAGUCACCACAAGAUGAGGAAUACAAGGUCAACGCAUUAGGAACGGUGAGAACCACUGCUCUGCAAUCUUGAAGAUGACGAAGGAAGUUUGUUAUUUUCUAUUUCAAGAGGCAAAUGCUACUUUAAUUUUUUUUUAUUACUUUAUAGCCUCAGGAUGAGUACAUGAUGACAAAGGUAACAGAGCUAACACCAGCAGCCAGAAAGAAUAAAUAAGUCAAUCUAAUCAACAAAUAUCUAGAAAAUUGCUAGAUUCCUGCUGAAGUUAUGUUUUAUUAGCAUUGAGAAGGAAUGAUAGCUUGAACGUAGUCUUUAGACUAGAAAGUGACAUUUACAAUACUUGCCAUAUGAGGUCCUCUUUUGAAGCCAUUGUAAAAGCUGAAUAAGCAGCCAUGUGUGAGGAACAAAGAUGGCGUUGUGUCAAGACAGACUUGUUCUCGUGUCUCAGCAGGCUUCUGGAAGCUUCUCCUGCUGGCUGAGAGAGACACUUCUCAGAUGCAUGAAAACUUUGCAAGAAGGAAAGCCACGUACUUCACAUUCUCCAUGGGGCUACAAGGGAAAAGAUUUAGGUUCAAUUUACUGGAGGAAAUUCCAUUCAGACAUGAAGCACAUAUUCAACUCCGGGAGCAAGAAGCAGUACCUGUUCAGCACCUAGAUGGCUCCACCCUACAAGUCCCCUUCUAUUUACUAUGUUGCUAUGAACUCAUGCCAACAACACGUCUUGACCUCAAAUUUCACAGAAUAUAUUUUUUUCUUUCCAAACUUUAUAUACAUAGGAGUAUAUAACCAUGUACUGCAUCUGUUUUUUUCUUUUCCAAAAUUUGUAUGAAACUCAUUUGUUACAUAUGCUAGCAGUUAAUUCCCUCUUAUUGCAUCUCAUUUCAAGUCUGUGAAGGUACCGCAAUUAUGUGUAAUCUAUUCUGUCACCGAUGGGCAUUUGCAUGAUUUCCAGUUUAUAGAAAUUAUCAAGAACUUUCCAAUAAAAAACUUUUAUG